CUUUUUAUAUUUGAUGCUCAAUGAAAAAUUUAAAUGUAAAUACUUGGUGGUGGAGCAACUUACGAAAAACAUCGUGAGCAAAGCAUCAUUGUAGUAAAACUAUAUAAAGGCUUGUC
rfam:Maribacter sedimenticola strain DSM 19840 genome assembly, contig: Ga0070243_110